rnacentral:rRNA from 1 species
GUAGGUGGCAAGCGUUGUUCGGAAUUAUUGGGCGUAAAGCGCGCGCAGGUGGGUUCUUUAAGUCUGAUGUGAAAGCCCCCGGGCUCAACCGGGGGGGGUCAUUGGAAACUGGGGAACUUGAGUGCAGGAGAGGAAAGUGGAAUUCCACGUGUAGCGGUGAAAUGCGUAGAUAUGUGGAGGAACACCAGUGGCGAAGGCGACUUUCUGGCCUGUAACUGACACUGAGGCGCGAAAGCGUGGGGAGCAAACAGGAUUAGAUACCCUGGUAGUCCACGCCGUAAACGAUGAGUGCUAAGUGUUGGGGGGUUUCCGCCCCUCAGUGCUGCAGCUAACGCAUUAAGCACUCCGCCUGGGGAGUACGGUCGCAAAGACUG